rnacentral:rRNA from 1 species
UACGGGGGGGGCAAGCGUUGUUCGGAAUUACUGGGCGUAAAGGGCUCGUAGGUGGCCAACUAAGUCGGACGUGAAAUCCCUCAGCUUAACUGGGGAACUGCGUCCGAUACUGGAUGGCUUGAGUUUGGGAGAGGGAUGCGGAAUUCCAGGUGUAGCGGUGAAAUGCGUAGAUAUCUGGAGGAACAUCAGUGGCGAAAGCGGCUUCCUGGUCCAACAUUGACAUUCAGGUGCGAAAGCGUGGGGAGCAAACAGG